AUAAGAACUGAGGGCAGGAACUCGGAGUCUCAUUUUACUACCAGGCACCUGGAGUCCAUCCUUGAAAAAUUCUACCCAUCAGACCAGAAGAAAUUUCACCUUUCACAUCACUUCAGAGUGACCCAGGAGGCAAUUUCAACCUGUCUGCUUCUUUUACUCCCUCCUGAAUUCUGUAAAAAAAACUUCCUAAUAGCUACGAUAUUGAAGGAGGGGUUGGUGCUGCUCACAUGUGUGGGUAAACAAGAAUUGCUCGUGAGAACGUACCAUCCAGUGAGCCCAAGUGGUCCAACAAAGUGGCCACUACAACUUGACAAUCAAAGGAAAGAUAUUAUUAUAAAGAGUCAUAUGUCCUGGAAGUAUUUUCUUUUCUCUUUUUUUUUUUGAGACGGAGUCUCGCUCUGUCGCCCAGGCUGGAGGGCAGUGGCGCGAUCUCGGCUCACUGCAAGCUCCGCCUCCCGGGUUCCCGCCAUUCUCCUGCCUCAGCCUCCCGAGUAGCUGGGACUACAGGCCCCGCCACCACGCCCGGCUAGUUGUUGUUGUUUUUGUUUUUUUGUUUUGUUUUGUUUUGUUUUUGUAUUUUUUAGUAGAGACGGGGUUUCACCGUGUUAGCCAGGAUGGUCUCGAUCUCCUGACCUUGUGAUCCGCCCGCCUCGGCCUCCCGAAGUGCUGGGAUUACAGGCGUGAGCCACUGCGCCCGGCCGGAAGUAUUUUCUUGAAUUGGUAUUUAAGGUGAUGGGUAAUUUAUAUUUCAAAUGACACAAACAUAUUGUACACUUAGAUUCAUGCUUUAAAUUUUAAAACCUAUGUGCCAGGCAAUGUGCUUGACAUUUUAAAAUAGAUUAUCUCUCAUCUUCCCCUAAGUCUGAAUAUGUAGCAUAUAUGCCCAGUGCUUAGGAAUACUUGAUAGGAAGCAGUAUGUAAUUGAAAACGUUUGGUAAAUCACAUAAAGAUUUAUUCAAACAUCUUUGUGAAGAACCAAAUAAAGUAACUAUAGUAUGGUUCAUAAUAAAAUCACUAGUUUUUAGAUGUGAUGUUAGAAUUAUAGAUCUAUUUUUAGAUGUCUAAAUUUAGUGGAAUGUGGUUGUACAGAAGUAGGUUGAAAUCACUUUUCAAAAUGGAUCAUUUUUUUUUCUAGUAAGCCCAUUAUUCAUGAUAAAGUCUUCAGAGAAUAUGAGUCGUUUCUCCAUUUUAUUUUAAUGGUGAAUUACGCUAUGCAAAUUACCAGUGCUUAUCUUAUUGUGCACAAAUAAGUGACCUAAGUAGCUCAUUUAGUGCUGCACAUUUGUUUAUGUUGGACCUCGUUCUGAAAUGUCACCACGCUAACUUGCUAUUUACUUUAUACGGCAGUUACAAGAGAUGAUUCAUCUCUUGUGUAUGAGCAUGAUUUUUAUUUUAGCCAUCAAUAACCAUGACAAUGAUAAUACACUGUAAGACUGAUAAUGAUGAGGUUUUUCCCUACCAGCUUAGUGUAAUUGAUAGUAAAAAUAAAAAGAUCAAUAAAACCGUGAAC
rnacentral:lncRNA from 1 species